rnacentral:rRNA from 1 species
UAGCGUAUGUUAAAGUUGUUGCGGCUAAAAAGCUCGUAGUUGGAUUUCUGUUGAGGAACUCUGGUCCGCUCUAUGAGCGUGCAUCUAGUUGUGCCUCGGCAUCCGCUCUGCAUACGUGUCUGCGCUUGAUUGCGUGGCGCGGAGGUAGGGCCUUUUACUUUGAGGAAAUUAGAGUGUUCACGGCAGGCUUUCGCCUUGAAUAUAUUAGCAUGGAAUAAUAACAUAGGAUCUUGGUUCUAUUUUGUUGGUUUCUAGGGCUGAGAUAAUGAUUAAUAGGGACAAUUGGGGGCAUUCGUAUUGCGGUGUC